rnacentral:rRNA from 1 species
UCCCUACCGGAGGCGGCAGAGGGGAAUUGAGACAAUGGGGGAAAGCAGGAUCCAGCAAUGCCGUGUGGGAAGAGGGCAUUGGGGUGUAAAGUUAUUUUUCUUGGAACAAGUCUAAACCUUUAAUAGUUGAGGAAGACGGUACUGAAGAAUAAGCACCGUAUUUUUGG